CAUGCUUAACACAUGCAAGUCGCACGAGGGUUUCGGCCCUAGUGGCGGACGGGUGAGUAACGCGUAGGUAUCUAUCCAUGGGUGGGGGAUAACAGCGGGAAACUGCUGCUAAUACCGCAUGACACCUGAGGGUCAAAGGCGCAAGUCGCCUGUGGAGGAGCCUGCGUACGAUUAGCUAGUUGGUGGGGUAACUGCCUACCAAGGCGACGAUCGUUAGCUGGUCUGAGAGGAUGAUCAGCCACAUUGGGACUGAGACACGGCCCAAACUCCUACGGGAGGCAGCAGUGGGGAAUCUUGCGCAAUGGGCGAAAGCCUGACGCAGCCAUGCCGCGUGGAUGAUGAAGGUCUUAGGAUUGUAAAAUCCUUUCACCGGGGACGAUAAUGACGGUACCCGGAGAAGAAGCCCCGGCUAACUUCGUGCCAGCAGCCGCGGUAAUACGAAGGGGGCUAGCGUUGCUCGGAAUUACUGGGCGUAAAGGGCGCGUAGGCGGGUCGCUAAGUUGGGGGUGAAAGCCCGAGGCUCAACCUCGGAAAUGCCUUCAAUACUGGCGACCUUGAGUAUGGGAGAGGUGAGUGGAACUCCGAGUGUAGAGGUGAAAUUCGUAGAUAUUCGGAAGAACACCAGUGGCGAAGGCGACUCACUGGCCCAUUACUGACGCUGAGGCGCGAAAGCGUGGGGAGCAAACAGGAUUAGAUACCCUGGUAGUCCACGCUGUAAACGAUGAGUGCUAGUUGUCGGCAUGCAUGCAUGUCGGUGACGCAGCUAACGCAUUAAGCACUCCGCCUGGGGAGUACGGUCGCAAGAUUAAAACUCAAAGGAAUUGACGGGGACCCGCACAAGCGGUGGAUGAUGUGGUUUAAUUCGAUGCAACGCGAAAAACCUUACCCACCUUUGACAUGUACGGAAUCCUUUAGAGAUAGAGGAGUGCUCGAAAGAGAACCGU
rnacentral:rRNA from 1 species